UUUUCUUUGACAAUGGGGGCAACCCUGAUCCAGCCAUGCCGCGUGAGUGAAGAAGGCCCUAGGGUMGUAAAACUCUUUCACCAGUGAUGAUAAUGACAGUGCAGGUAAAGAAACCCCGGCUAUUCUCCGUGCCAGCAGCCGCGGUAAUACGGAGGGGGUUAGCGUUGUUUGGAAUUACUGGGCGUAAAGCGCACGUAGGCGGAUUAGAAAGUUAGAGGUGAAAUCCCGGGGCUCAACCCCGGAACCGCUUUUAAAACUAUUAGUCUAGAGUUCGAGAGAGGUGAGUGGAAUUCCGAGUGUAGAGGUGAAAUUCGUAGAUAUUGGGAGGAACACCAGUGGAGAAGGCGGCUCAGUGGCUCGAUACUGACGCUGAGGUGCGAAAGUGUGGGGAGCAAACGGGAUUAGAUACCCUUAGUUUCCACACCGUAAACGAUGAAUGCCAGUCGUCGGGUAGUAUACUCUUCGGUGACACACU
rnacentral:rRNA from 1 species